UACGGGGGGGGCAAGCGUUGUUCGGAAUUACUGGGCGUAAAGGGCUCGUAGGCGGCCAACUAAGUCAGACGUGAAAUCCCUCGGCUUAACCGGGGAACUGCGUCUGAUACUGGAUGGCUUGAGAUUGGGAGAGGGAUGCGGAAUUCCAGGUGUAGCGGUGAAAUGCGUAGAUAUCUGGAGGAACACCGGUGGCGAAGGCGGCAUCCUGGACCAACACUGACGCUGAGAAGCGAAAGCCAGGGGAGCAAACGGG
rnacentral:rRNA from 1 species